AAGCAUCUUCUGAGUGGUAACCCAGCUGAAUGUUGAGGUGGUGUGAUAGUGUGGUUGUGUGAUUGUGGAUGCUCGCUCCCAAAAGAGCUGCUACUUGUUGUGUUUUUAGUGUACCCUCCCUGUUUAGUAGCUUAGUGCUACGGGGUUAUCAGCUAUUUGAUCAGAUAUUCACCGAAGAGCCUUUAAGACUAGCGAGAAAUCAAGGAGAUGGAGCAAUCGAAGGAGGAACCUGGAGAACUUGUACCCUCUCUGUUUAGUAGCUUAGUGCUACGAGAAAGAUCAAGAAAAGGAGCAGAUAUCACCGGAAAGACUUUGAGAUCAGCAAGAAAUCAAGGAUAUGGAUCAAUCGGAGGAGGGACCUAGACAAAUGCAACGGCAACAACAACAACAGCAACAGCAACAGCAGCUUCAAAUACGCAGCCAAAGAGCCACAGAUACAGAUACAAAGAUACAGCCACAGAUAGAGAUAGAGAUACAGUUAGCGCUACAGAUAGAGAUAGAGAUGCAGAUACGACAGCACCAGCUACAGAUACUUGUAACUAAAGUGACAUGAGGCCUUAACAACAAUAAAAACAACAACAACAACACCAUAAGCAACUACCAAAGGAACUUCGUAAAGAGUGGGGGCAAAAAACAGCGACCGACGGCACUAAAAACCAAAUUACAAACAAUUAAAAGCGAGAGCACAAGGAGUGGGAUCCUCCCCCAACACAGACACACACACGCACAGCAGGAGCAGCAGGAAUAGAAGCAGCAGCAGCAGCAGCCGGAACAGGACACUCACAGCUGAGGAGGAGCAAAAAGGACAAAAGCCAGGCAGCAGCAGCAGCAUCAGCAGCUCUACAUGCUUCAACGUUUAUGGCCAACUAAAACUGAGCAGUGGUCCCAGACACGGAUCCACGAAUUUACCCCUGGACAACAACAACAACAACAACUGAAACAGCAGCCGCAGUCCAUCAUCAUCGCCAGGACCUUUGUCUCCACCUCACCCCAUCUGCAACUGACUGCCACCGAAGGCGGCAAUAAAAAGUUUGCCUUUGUGUCGUGUCGUGUCGUCUCGGUGUCGACAUUGCCAGCUUGCUUUCGCUUUCGCUUUUGCUUUUGAGCCAGCAAAACUGCUGCCGGCACGCCCUCCGUUUUGGCGAAAACGGUGUCGUCCUCUGUCGUCCUCAGUCGUCGUCGUCGUCCUCAUCCUCAUCGUCGUCAGACGUCGCCGCCUCUGGGCACUCAAUUAAGCCCAAUUCAACGCAACUUGAAAGCGACGCGCGGCAAACAAUAGCAGCUAAAAAACAACACAAAAACAAGGGGAGCAGUGAGAGAAAUAACAACAACGGGGGGAAAAAGAGGAGGAGCAUCACCAGGAGAUACAAAACGCCGACCAGAAAUAAUAACAAUUGCUAAAGCGACAACAACAAAAAACAACACCUACGCAGGCAGCCAUAAUUGCAAAAAACAGAAAUAACACAUUAAAAGCAAAAGCAGUACGAUUAACAAUAAUAGUAACAGCAACAAAAAGUGCAACAUAAGCAACAUUAAUAGUAAGAGCAACAGUCAUAGCUAUUGACAUAGGGAAUAGUAACUGCAACCGAUUGAAUAACAUCAGUAAGUGCAAUAAAAGCAACAAGAAAAGCAACUACUACAGUACUACAGCAUCAGUCUCAACAGCAUAAUUCUUAACAGAAGAUACAACGACAGAGCUAGCAACAGCAAUUUCCACAGCAGCACCAACACCAGCAUCAACAACAUAAUAAGUCAACAACAGACAGAUAUAAGCUAAAAGCAACGUAGGAAGCAACACAAACAACAGGACCAGGCAAUACCUACAGCACCAACUGAAUCAAUAACUAAGGCAACAUAAGCAGCAGCACCUACAACAUCUCCAGCAAAAAAAACACCAAUAGUAACCCCAGCAACAAAACUCCAACAAAAAACCCCAACAGUAAUGCCAGCCACAAACCUCCAACAGCAAUUGAGUCUACAAUUGCAGCAAGCAUAAGCAGCAACAUUAGUUGAUGCAGUUGGCAUAAAAGCAGCAACAACUAAGCUGAAUAACAACACAACAACAGCAACAUAGGGAAUCCGAAUCCUAGGCAACAUUAGCGUAAUCAGUGCAACAGUGAAGCCACAGGCCCAGCCACGCCCACGACAACGACUCGAACACGGACACGUAGGCGGCACUUGGUAACAGAAGCAGCAACAGCAACAGCAAAAGCAACAACAGCAGCAGCAAGGACGAUAGCAAGGAUAGACAAGAAAAUAAGAUAGAACGGGGAACAGGAGAUAGGUACAAGGAUAAACAAGAAGGGAGGCUAGUCGCCCACACGCAACGCAUCGAAGGCGUAG